rnacentral:rRNA from 1 species
UGCGCCUUGCCAGCCCGCUCAGAAACUCAAAUGAAUUGACGGGGGCCCGCACAAGCGGUGGAGCAUGUGGUUUAAUUCGAUGAUACGCGAGGAACCUUACCUGGGCUCAAAUGUAUGUUUGACGUAUUCUGAAAGGGAUACUUCUUCGGACAAUAUACAAGGUGCUGCAUGGUUGUCGUCAGCUCGUGCCGUGAGGUGUCGGGUUAAGUCCCGCAACGAGCGCAACCCUUGCCUUUAGUUGCCAGCAGUUCGGCUGGGCACUCUAAAGGGACUGCCGGUGUUAAACCGGAGGAAGGUGGGGAUGACGUCAAGUCCUCAUGGCCUUUAUGACCAGGGCUACACACGUACUACAAUGGCCGAUACAAAGGGCAGCGACACUGCGAGGUGAAGCCAAUCCCGUAAAAUCGGUCUCAGUCCGGAUUGGAGUCUGCAACUCGACUCCAUGAAGUUGGAAUCGCUAGUAAUCGUGGAUCAGCAUGCCACGGUGAAUACGUUCCCGGGCCUU